rnacentral:lncRNA from 10 species
CAGUGAGUGUGAUGUCUUGCUCCGGGUGUCCUGGGGCAACUUUCUAUACAGGCGGGACGUGGGAGGAUCAGACAGGGUAACAUCAGACAAGGGUGUUGACUCUGCAGCACAGAACCAGUAGUUUGUGGAGAAGAAUGGAGGUGUGGUGUUGAAUCUGCUAGACAGGCUACUGAAGCAAAAGUCAAGAGAUCCAGAUUCCAUCAUGGGGACACUUUAGGAAGAAGAAAUGUCUUCUCAGCAGAUCUGAGGGGAUUGAGUUCUUGAUUGAUUCCCAGCUUGGUCAUUGGUGUAUAGCAGUGCUACUGAUUUGUUUACAUUCAUUUUGUAACCUGAGACUUUACUGAAUUCGUGUAUCAGAUCUAGGAGCCUUUUGGGUCUUCAUCGGGUAAUUGAGCUGAUAUCAGGUGUCUGAAGGAGGCAAGUUUUGAAGAUGUGGUGAAGGUCAGCAGUUCUCAGGAAACCUCUAGCACUUCCAUCCCUGGUGGGAUGUGAUGCCUGUCUCAGGGUAACAUCAGAGAAGGGGUGUACUCUGUGCCCUAGAACUAGGAGCUAACAGAGAAAAACCAAAUGUGAUGUGGAGUCUGCUAGACAGGCUACUGGAGCAAGAGUGAAGCGAUGAAAGUCUCAUCAUUGGGACAUAUUAGGUAUUGAGCCCCAGGAAGAAGAAACACUACAUAAGAGCAAAUAAUAAAAUCGGUCAGAUAGACAGAAGAUGGGAGUCAUCAAACCUGUAUCCCUCUUGCCAGACCUAUCAACUGACCAUACGUCAUUCAGGAGGCAGCAGGUGGCUGAAAUCCUGGUGUGAUGUGGCUGGAUCAUGCAUGAUCUGAGGACUCCUGCACAGGUGACUGCAGGAUGAGUACAGAAUUUUUCUAUAAAUAUACUAAAAUACCGCACAAUUAUUUUAUCUUGGAACCAACAAUCUUCGGAGAAUGUAUCCCAAAGAUACAAUUCAAAAAGAUAAAAAGGCAGAAGCACAAGGUCAUUCUUGGCAGAACAAAUUGUAACAGCAGAAGACUGGAAAUAAGACAGAUGUCCACCAAUAAAGGACUGACUGAAUAAUCUAAGGUGCAUCUACAUCCUAGAUUUCAAUGC